AGUUUGAUCCUGGCUCAGGAUGAACGCUAGCUACAGGCUUAACACAUGCAAGUCGAGGGGAAACGACAUCGAAAGCUUGCUUUUGAUGGGCGUCGACCGGCGCACGGGUGAGUAACGCGUAUCCAACCUGCCCACCACUUGGGGAUAACCUUGCGAAAGUAAGACUAAUACCCAAUGACGUCUCUAGAAGACAUCUGAAAGAGAUUAAAGAUUUAUCGGUGAUGGAUGGGGAUGCGUCUGAUUAGCUUGUUGGCGGGGUAACGGCCCACCAAGGCAACGAUCAGUAGGGGUUCUGAGAGGAAGGUCCCCCACAUUGGAACUGAGACACGGUCCAAACUCCUACGGGAGGCAGCAGUGAGGAAUAUUGGUCAAUGGGCGAGAGCCUGAACCAGCCAAGUAGCGUGCAGGAUGACGGCCCUAUGGGUUGUAAACUGCUUUUAUAAGGGAAUAAAGUGAGAGCCGUGACUCUUUUUGCAUGUACCUUAUGAAUAAGGACCGGCUAAUUCCGUGCCAGCAGCCGCGGUAAUACGGAAGGUCCGGGCGUUAUCCGGAUUUAUUGGGUUUAAAGGGAGCGUAGGCCGGAGAUUAAGCGUGUUGUGAAAUGUAGACGCUCAACGUCUGCACUGCAGCGCGAACUGGUUUCCUUGAGUACGCACAAAGUGGGCGGAAUUCGUGGUGUAGCGGUGAAAUGCUUAGAUAUCACGAAGAACUCCGAUUGCGAAGGCAGCUCACUGGAGCGCAACUGACGCUGAAGCUCGAAAGUGCGGGUAUCGAACAGGAUUAGAUACCCUGGUAGUCCGCACGGUAAACGAUGGAUGCCCGCUGUUGGUCUGAAUAGGUCAGCGGCCAAGCGAAAGCAUUAAGCAUCCCACCUGGGGAGUACGCCGGCAACGGUGAAACUCAAAGGAAUUGACGG
rnacentral:rRNA from 1 species